rnacentral:sRNA from 1 species
GCUGGGCAUGGUGGUGCAUGCCUGUAAUCCCAGAGAUUCUCAGGAGGCUGAGGCAGGAAGAUCACAUUUGAGGUCAACCUUGGUGAUUUAGUGAGACCCUCAGCCACCU